ACAAGAUACUGUUGUGAUCUCAAGAGAGAGGAACGAGCAUUCAGAUGGAGAUGUAAAAUGGAGAAAAUGCCACGGGGUCAGUCACCCUGCUCCUGUGAUCAGAACAAAAGCGGGCAGUAACUGAAAGUUUCAUGAAAAAGGGACCAGAGUCAAGACAACCAGGAUCAGUCUUACUUAGGUCUCAUGAUGAAACCUAUGUUCUACAGGUGCCUCCUGCACGACUCCCUGGGAUGUCCCCAUGCCACCUGCAGAAAGGAGAGGAACAGCACUGAAAUCAUAUGCUAGAAAACACCUCAUACAGGUGAGCUCUUGUCUGCACAGAGGAAAUCACCACUUUCAG